rnacentral:rRNA from 1 species
AUACGGAGGAUCCGAGCGUUAUCCGGAUUUAUUGGGUUUAAAGGGAGCGUAGGUGGACAGUUAAGUCAGUUGUGAAAGUUUGCGGCUCAACCGUAAAAUUGCAGUUGAUACUGGUUGUCUUGAGUACAGUAGAGGUGGGCGGAAUUCGUGGUGUAGCGGUGAAAUGCUUAGAUAUCACGAAGAACUCCGAUUGCGAAGGCAGCUCACUGGACUGCAACUGACACUGAUGCUCGAAAGUGUGGGUAUCAAACAGGAUUAGAUACCCUGGUAGUCCGCACAGUAAACGAUGAAUACUCGCUGUUUGCGAUACACGGUAAGCGGCCAAGCGAAAGCGUUAAGUAUUCCACCUGGGGAGUACGCCGGCAACGGUGAAACUCAAAUGAAUUGACGGGG